CCAAGGAGACGUUGCUAAUACAAAAGGAAUAUAUUUGUUUAAUGAAAGUGGUAAUUGUUAUAACAUGUUUUUGAUGGUUAAUUGUUAAUAUGUAAUUGUGUAAUAAUACAAUUACAAACAGUUUGGUCUGGAAUUACAUGUCAUGGAACAGCACAACUGGUUUUCAAUGCAACAACGUGUAGCAGUACGAGCGUUUUUGUCUUGUUUUUCCCCUCGCUCUUUCUGUUGACUGUUGCUAUGGUUUCCCUUCCUCACUUCCGCCAGUUGUUGAGGUAAGCCCACCGGGUAUUCCUCUGCGCUCGUCACUCGCGUUACUUCCGGGUCAGAGGUCGUGUGCCCGACAGGUGUUUGUGUGCUGCUCCGUGCUCCCUGUGCGCUGCUGGGGUCGUUGGCCGGUGGUGGAUGCUGGCGGCUGGAGUCCAAACCUUCCUCCUCAUGAGUAUGUGUGUUCUGAGAAGUUGCUGUAGGCCAGUGGGGGCGGGGCUGGUGACCUGGAGGGGGUGUCCUCCCGUCGGAUCUUGCUGUGUCCCCUGGACUGGGUUUCUUCACUGAGGGUGUGUUUGCCACGUGUGCCUGGUCACUUAAGUUAUUUUUGCCUUAUUUUGGAGGAUCUGGCCCCUGCACUAGCCCUUGCCCAUCCACUUCGGCCUCAGCCCUGAUUAGGUUUCUCUUUUAUUUUAUGUGAAUGAGUUUUACGGAGUAUACUUUUUAAAAACAAAUGUUGAAUAAAAUUUGUAUUUUCAAACUUU